CACGUAGGGCGCAAGCGUUGUCCGGAAUUAUUGGGCGUAAAGAGCUCGUAGGCGGUCUGUUGCGUCGGCUGUGAAAACCCGGGGCUCAACUCCGGGCCUGCAGUCGAUACGGGCAGACUAGAGUUCGGUAGGGGAGACUGGAAUUCCUGGUGUAGCGGUGAAAUGCGCAGAUAUCAGGAGGAACACCGGUGGCGAAGGCGGGUCUCUGGGCCGAAACUGACGCUGAGGAGCGAAAGCGUGGGGAGCGAACAGG
rnacentral:rRNA from 1 species